UGGGGCGUAGCCAAGCGGUAAGGCACCGGUUUUUGGUAUCGGCAUGCGGAGGUUCGAAUCCUCCCGCCCCAGCCA
rnacentral:tRNA from 1 species